UGGGACCUACGGGAGGCAGCAGUGGGGAAUAUUGGGCAAUGGACGCAAGCCUGACCCAGCAACGCCGCGUGAAGGAAGAAGGCUUUCGGGUUGUAAUCUUCUUUUGACAGGGAAGAGCAGAAGACGGUACCUGUCGAAUAAGCCACGGCUAACUACGUGCCAGCAGCCGCGGUAAUACGUAGGUGGCAAGCGUUGUCCGGAUUUACUGGGUGUAAAGGGCGUGUAGCCGGGCUGACAAGUCAGAUGUGAAAUCCGGGGGCUCAACCCCCGAACUGCAUUUGAAACUGCUGGUCUUGAGUAUCGGG
rnacentral:rRNA from 1 species